ACGGAGGGUGCGAACGUUAAUCGGAAUUACUGGGCGUAAAGCGCGCGUAGGCGGUUUGAUAAGUGGGAUGUGAAAGCCCUGGGCUCAACCUGGGAACUGCAUUCCAAACUGUCAGGCUAGAGUAUGGUAGAGGGAGGUAGAAUUUCCUGUGUAGCGGUGAAAUGCGUAGAUAUAGGAAGGAAUACCGGUGGCGAAGGCGGCCUCCUGGACCAAUACUGACGCUGAGGUGCGAAAGCGUGGGGAGCAAACAGG
rnacentral:rRNA from 1 species